UACAUGGGGUGCAAACGUUGCUCGGAAUUAUUGGGCGUAAAGCGCACGUAGGCGGACUCUUAAGUCAGGGGUGAAAUCCUGGAGCUCAACUCCAGAACUGCCUUUGAUACUGGGAGCCUUGAGUUCGGGAGAGGUGAGUGGAACUGCGAGUGUAGAGGUGAAAUUCGUAGAUAUUCGCAAGAACACCAGUGGCGAAGGCGGCUCACUGGCCCGAUACUGACGCUGAGGUGCGAAAGCGUGGGGAGCAAACAGG
rnacentral:rRNA from 1 species